rnacentral:rRNA from 1 species
UAUUUAUUAGAUAACAGACCAAUAUUCCUCGUGUCUAUUGCGGUGACUCAUAGUAACUGAUCGGAUCGCAUGGCCUUGUGCCGCGACUAACCAUUCAAGUUUCUGACCCAUCAGCUUUCGAUGGUAGUGUAUUGGACUACCAUGGCUUUCACGGGUAACGGAGGAUUAGGGUUCGAUUCCGGAGAGGGAGCCUGAGAAACGGCUACCACAUCUAAGGAAGGCAGCAGGCGCGUAAAUUACCCAAUCCUGACUCAGGGAGGUAGUGACAAGAAAUAACGGGUCGGGGCAUUCGCCUCGGGAUUGCAAUGAAUCGAAUUUACACCCCUUAAUGAGGAUCAAUUGGAGGGCAAGUCUGGUGCCAGCAGCCGCGGUAAUUCCAGCUCCAAUAGCGUAUAUUAAAGUUGUUGCAGUUAAAAAGCUCGUAGUUUGAUUUCUGGACGGGCGCCAACACCCGCUUGUUUAGUGUGGAGGCGGCGCCCGCCCAUCCUUCUGUUAACGCCACCGGCAUUCAUUUGCUGGCGGCGGGCUCAGAUAUUUUACCUUGAGAAAAUUAGAGUGUUUCAGGCAGGCUUGCGC